rnacentral:ncRNA from 1 species
CUCUUAUCGCGAGCUGGCUGAGGGACUGGCCCUAUGAUGCCCGGCAACCGGCGCUAUUUUUUUCUUGAAUAGCGAAACGGUGCUAAUUCCAACGGAUAAGAG